UCAUGGAUCCUAAGUUGAGGCAGCGCA
rnacentral:misc_RNA from 1 species